rnacentral:rRNA from 1 species
UACGUAGGGUGCGAGCGUUGUCCGGAAUUACUGGGCGUAAAGAGCUCGUAGGUGGUUUGUCGCGUUGUUCGUGAAAACCGGGGGCUUAACCCUCGGCGUGCGGGCGAUACGGGCAGACUUGAGUACUGCAGGGGAGACUGGAAUUCCUGGUGUAGCGGUGGAAUGCGCAGAUAUCAGGAGGAACACCGAUGGCGAAGGCAGCUCUCUGGGACGGUACUGACGCUGAGACGCGAAAGCGUGGGAGCGAACAGG